AACGAAAUUCAAGACAACAAUAACCAACCACAACCCGUAUGAAGAAUAGCAAGGGGCGCGGUUUACAUACGGCCCAUCCAAUCGGUAGAGGCUGUACUGGAGUCCCGUGCUGGACUGGGCCUCGGUCUUGCCUGGUGUCAUGCAACCGACUAUUGAAUAUGUGAUGGCGGCAGAAGACUUGAGAAUUCCCGGGGAGGGUAUUCUUAUAGGGGAUAAGAUAUACUCUGGUGUAACCCUAACUUUAGAUAACUGUCUCCUGCCACUGGAGCGACUACAGCAGAGUCCGUCCGCUGAACAUGGGCUCUCCGCGGAUACCGAGGAGCAGCUGCGGAUGCGGAGCUGUGAGUUGAUACAGGCCGCGGGUAUUCUGCUUAGACUCCCGCAGGUAGCCAUGGCCACGGGGCAGAUCCUUUUCCAGAGGUUCUACUAUUGCAAAUCGUUCGUCAGACACUGUGCAGAGAUGGUUGCCAUGGCUUGUGUGCACCUGGCUUCAAAGAUCGAGGAGGAACCGCGCAGGGUACGAGAUGUUCUCAAUGUGUUCUACCACCUCAAACACAGCAAAGGCAAAAGGGCCCAGGUCCCCAUGCCUUUGGAUGCCAGCUACAUCAGUGCCAAGGCUCAGGUAAUCAAGACAGAGAGGAGAGUACUGAAGGAGCUGGGCUUCUGUGUGCAUGUCAAACACCCCCACAAGAUCAUUGUGAUGUACCUCCAGGUGCUGGAGUGUGAGAAGAACACCAAGCUGGUACAGACAGCUUGGAACUACAUGAAUGACAGUCUGAGGACAGAUGUGUUCCUGAGGUUCAGUGCUGAGACCGUGGCCUGUGCCUGUAUCUACCUGUCAGCCAGAACACUUCAGAUCCCUCUGCCGGACCAGCCUCCCUGGUUCCUGCUGUUUGGUGCGUCUGAGGAGGACCUGAGGGAGAUCUGUGGGCGGAUCCUGAGGCUGUACUCACUGCCCAACGUCUCCCUCCCCAGUAUGUUAAAAGAAGUGGAGCAGUGUCACCUGGCCCUGGAUGCACGCAUCGCCAAGGCUAAGCUGGCAGGAGGGGGACUACUGGCUGUGGGCACCCCCACCCUGGACGUCCCCUCCAGCUUCUCCCCUGCCUCCAAAGCAGCGUCGCCUGCUGUACCACAGACCAACAGGGAGUCUCCCCCUAAAUCAAGUCGCCCUAAAAAAUGCCUGCCGGAAACUCACUAACGGAGACGAGAAGAAAAGAGGGAGUCGUAGUGAUGAGAGAAGAGAGACUCAGUCCAUGUCUCCUUCCAGAAGAAGACGCAGUCGCAGUGUCUCUUCUCCUUUGCGCUCUGUCUCUCCCACCCACCGCCAGAAAAUCAGUCGCCGGGAUAGAGAAAGGGAAAAAGAGCGGGAGCGUCGGCGGGAACGGGAGAGGGAGCGGGGAAGAGGAAGGAGAGAUGAAUACUCACGUAGAAGAUAACUCUCAUAGGUGUUAUCAAGGAAGAGCUAUCAUAAAUGACCUAUGGAACAGCACAUCAUGGACCAAAUACAAGCCAGACUUUCCAAUGUUUUCACUUUUGUAGAUUGUUUGUAUUACAUUAUAAUUUGGGAAACUAUGCUCUAAGAUCAUAGUCCAAAGCUUUUGUCUGAACAAUAUUUUUGAAAUAAAAAUGCUUUUAGAUGA